CGUCCAGUAGCUCAAUCUGUGGAGCGGCGCGCUGUUGACGCGAGGGCUGCAGGUUCGAAGCCUGCCUGCACAGCCA
rnacentral:tRNA from 1 species